CUGCCUGCCAGGUGUAUGUGAUUUUAUUUGAUUGGUGACUUAAGAGGUUGCGGCAAAUUACAUACCACCGAUGGCUCAGUAGUGUUCGCCAACAACAUUGUAAUGCUGAAUAGCUCCUUUAGGUGAUAUACAUGAGUCCCCAUCCCCACAGACAAAGGUCCUGGUAGUAUUGCUCAUUUGAAAUAGUAUGAAUUUUGGGCACUUUUUUACAACUUGCCAGUGAACAUCUUAAUUGUUAUGGUUAGCUAGCUUGGCCCAUUCGUAUUUACCAAAUUUUUUGCAUGAAUCUCAGCAAUAUGGUCGAUGGCAUUGCCUUGUGCGGGGUAUAAGCAGGUGAGUGCAACACUAUCCUAAUGAUUUGUAUCAUGCAAGUUUAUUAAUCAUGCAGGUUUAUUCUAAUUUUGGCAGUUCAUGGCCUCAUGGGUAUGACAUAAGAGUAGUGUCCCAUCCUGUGUUUUUGCGCUGUUUAUUCACAAGGGGAUCAAAAUAAUGCAGGUUCCUCAUGCCAAUUGUUUCCCCUCUUACAGGCUUAUGAGUGUUUUUGCAAAUGCCUGUCAUUUGUACAAACUAAAUUCAAGGCCAGAACAUUUUGUUUGUGUAGUCCCCCUGUCCGUGUUGUUGCUGGACGUUCCCUUUGUUGCACUGCUGCUGCUGCUAGGGGAGAGAAGUAAGGAGGAUAAGAGAUGAAAAACCAGGGCAGAAGAUAGAGGAGCGAGGAGGGGUCCCACUGGGUUCCUUCAUUGUGGUGCUGCAGAGAACUGUCCUAAAGUUGCAAUUUGUAUUGAACCAACUACAUGGUGCAGUUAUCAGAGCACAACAGAGGUUCAAGCUGUUGAUGCGAACCCUUCAUGAGUUCGGAUCUCGCAUGGCAAAUUCAAAAUUCCCAACAAGCCAAAGCUGGCCUCCAUUGUUACUACACCUGAGAAUGAAGGGGGGAGGCAUUUAACAUGCGGUGUCGCGACAUGCCAGUUGCAACGUGCCAGUUGUUUGUGAAAGAAUUCUCUUGCCUUGGAGUGGAUUGAAGUGCAGGAGGUCUCCAAUGUAGUACUUCGGUUUGUUCAGGUGAGCAUUUUUCUUGUGCGGAUGAUACCAUUGAGAGGAGUUAUAGCUGAGAAAGGGAGAAACCAUGAUCCAAUUGUAGCUGUGUGAGGACAAUGUUGCUUACUUAGAAAAUUUGAUCUAUGAUAUGUAUGUUGGCACUGCUAUAUAUGUUUAUGCACAGAUCCUUGGCUACUCAGAA